GGCAAAGAUGAUGGUGCUUCUUUAAUUUCUGACACCUCUUGUAUGAGAAGAACCUUCAAAAAGUUCUUCGUUGAGCACAUUAAGCAACCCUCUGAGCC
rnacentral:snoRNA from 1 species